GCGAACGGGUGAGUAACACGUGGGUGAUCUGCCCUGCACUUUGGGAUAAGCCUGGGAAACUGGGUCUAAUACCGAAUACACCCUGCUGGUCGCAUGGCCUGGUGGGGGAAAGCUUUUGCGGUGUGGGAUGGGCCCGCGGCCUAUCAGCUUGUUGGUGGGGUGAUGGCCUACCAAGGCGACGACGGGUAGCCGGCCUGAGAGGGUGUCCGGCCACACUGGGACUGAGAUACGGCCCAGACUCC
rnacentral:rRNA from 1 species